CCUACGGGGGGCAGCAGUGAGGAAUAUUGGUCAAUGGGCGGAAGCCUGAACCAGCCAAGUCGCGUGAGGGAUUAAGGCCCUGCGGGUCGUAAACCUCUUUUGCCGGGGAGCAGUGGUCCGGACGCGUCCGGACCGGGAGAGUACCCGGAGAAAAAGCAUCGGCUAACUCCGUGCCAGCAGCCGCGGUAAUACGGAGGAUGCGAGCGUUAUCCGGAUUUAUUGGGUUUAAAGGGUGCGCAGGCGGGCCUUUAAGCCGGCGGUGGAAUCGCGGGGCUCAACCCCGCCGAGCCGUCGGAACUGGGGGCCUUGAGUGCGGCGGAGGCAGGCGGAAUGCGCGGUGUAGCGGUGAAAUGCAUAGAUAUCGCGCAGAACCCCGAUUGCGAAGGCAGCGUGCCGUGCCGCCACUGACGCUGAGGCACGAAAGCGCGGGGAUCGAACAGGAUUAGAUACCCUUGUAGUC
rnacentral:rRNA from 1 species